rnacentral:rRNA from 1 species
GUAUGGGGAUCUGCCCGAUAGAGGGGAAUAACUACUGGAAACGGUGGCUAAUACCGCAUAAUGUCUACGGACCAAAGCAGGGGCUCUUCGGACCUUGCACUAUCGGAUGAACCCAUAUGGGAUUAGCUAGUAGGUGGGGUAAAGGCUCACCUAGGCGACGAUCUCUAGCUGGUCUGAGAGGAUGAUCAGCCACACUGGGACUGAGACAUGGCCCAG